rnacentral:ncRNA from 1 species
UUUUGCGGAGUAUAGUUGAUGAAGGCAAAGCCGCGCGUCUGGUCGAUGACAUGAAACAGCGGGUUCCAAUAAAAGAACGGCAGCAUGAUGUUGGGCAGAAUAUUGGCCACGAACAUCUUGCCCGAGGCGAUCAUGUUGAUCCGCU